rnacentral:rRNA from 1 species
AGAUUGAACGCUGGCGGCAGGCCUAACACAUGCAAGUCGAGCGGCAGCACGGGUACUUGUACCUGGUGGCGAGCGGCGGACGGGUGAGUAAUGCCUAGGAAUCUGCCUAGUGGUGGGGGAUAACGUUCGGAAACGGACGCUAAUACCGCAUACGUCCUACGGGAGAAAGCGGGGGACCUUCGGGCCUCGCGCCAUUAGAUGAGCCUAGGUCGGAUUAGCUAGUUGGUGAGGUAAUGGCUCACCAAGGCGACGAUCCGUAACUGGUCUGAGAGGAUGAUCAGUCACACUGGAACUGAGACACGGUCCAGACUCCUACGGGAGGCAGCAGUGGGGAAUAUUGGACAAUGGGGCAAAGCCUGAUCCAGCCAUGCCGCGUGUG